GAUGAACGCUGGCGGCGUGCCUAAUACAUGCAAGUCGAGCGAAUGGAUUAAGAGCUUGCUCUUAUGAAGUUAGCGGCGGACGGGCGAGUAACACGUGGGUAACCUGCCCAUAAGACUGGGAUAACUCCGGGAAACCGGGGCUAAUACCGGAUAACAUUUUGAACCGCAUGGUUCGAAAUUGAAAGGCGGCUUCGGCUGUCACUUAUGGAUGGACCCGCGUCGCAUUAGCUAGUUGGUGAGGUAACGGCUCACCAAGGCAACGAUGCGUAGCCGACCUGAGAGGGUGAUCGGCCACACUGGGACUGAGACACGGCCCAGACUCCUACGGGAGGCAGCAGUAGGGAAUCUUCCGCAAUGGACGAAAGUCUGACGGAGCAACGCCGCGUGAGUGACGAAGGCUUUCGGGUCGUAAAACCCUGUUGUUAGGGAAGAACAAGUGCUAGUUGAAUAAGCUGGCACCUUGACGGUACCUAACCAGAAAGCCACGGCUAACUACGUGCCAGCCGCCGCCGUAA
rnacentral:rRNA from 1 species